UUGACUUAUUUUUUUUUUUUACUCAGAGACGCCGCUGUAAUACACUAGAGUUUGUGACCUCCGGCGGGCGCCCCUCGCCCCGGAGGGCGUGGGCUGCGGUCCCCCGAGGGGUCCCGCGCCGCCGAAGCAACUUGGAUACGUUCGCUAUGGUUUGAAGGUGCCUCUCGGCUUCCUGUAAUGAUCCCUCCGCUGGUUCACCAACGGAGA
rnacentral:misc_RNA from 1 species